rnacentral:rRNA from 1 species
GUGGGGAAUCUUAGACAAUGGGGGCAACCCUGAUCUAGCCAUGCCGCGUGAGUGAUGAAGGCCUUAGGGUCGUAAAGCUCUUUCGCUGGGGAAGAUAAUGACGGUACCCAGUAAAGAAACCCCGGCUAACUCCGUGCCAGCAGCCGCGGUAAUACGGAGGGGGUUAGCGUUGUUCGGAAUUACUGGGCGUAAAGCGCGCGUAGGCGGAUGGGAAAGUUGGGGGUGAAAUCCCGGGGCUCAACCCUGGAAUGGCCUUCAAAACUCCCAGUCUUGAGGUCGAGAGAGGUGAGUGGAAUUCUGAGUGUAGAGGUGAAAUUCGUAGAUAUUCGGAGGAACACCAGUGGCGAAGGCGGCUCACUGGCUCGAUACUGACGCUGAGGUGCGAAAGCGUGGGGAGCAAACAGGAUUAGAAACCCGAGUAGUCC